AGAAGUWUGGAGGGUGAGGCCUGCCCAAUGGUUGUAUCUAAAAGAGUCGGUGAGAGCCGACUUCAUAAAGACAAUUGAAUGGCCGCGGUAACACUGACCGUGAUAAUGUAGCGUAAUCAAUAGCCAAUUAAUUGUUGGCCGGUAUGAAUGGCGUCACGAAGGCCCUACUGUCUUAAGAAGAUUCCCAGUGAAAUUGAAUUCGUAGUGAAGAUGCUACGUCCAAAUUGUUAGACGAAGAGACCCCAUUGAGCUUUACUGGAAACUUAUAUGGCUGAAAUAUAUUCUUGCUCAUAAAGAUUGAUCUCACAGAGAUUUAUUUGGAGUAAGGAGUUAAAACUUAAAUAAAUAGCUAAAAUUCUGUGGUGUGAGACAUCUUGUCAGAGUCUUGUUCUAAGAUUUAACCGUUUUAGACCAUCGGCCAAAGCCGUGGGAUAAUGGGGCCCACUCUUUUAUUUUAAGAGAGCUAACUCUCCUUCAUGAUCUUUAAUCUAAUGGUGAGAGGAACGACGUAAGUUGGACAGUUUGGUUGGGGCGACCGCCUUUUAAAAAGUAACGAAGGUGAGCUUAAGGUGCAUAAUUAAUAGCAACCGCCUGACUGCAAGGGGGACGUCCCGAGCAGACACCGGAAGCCGCCAAGAACCAUUAUAUGGUUCCGGAUUUUCGAUUUCAUGAUUGAAGACCUGGACACAAGCUCUUAAGGCGGAGAAAGGUGGGCUAUAAUGACCCGUUAGUUUAGAGUGGAAUAGCUAACGAUCAACGGAUAAAAGCUACCAUGGGGAUAACAGCGUAAUAUCGUUAGAGAGCUUUCAUCGACGACGAUGUUUGCGACCUCGAUGUUGAAUUGCAGCAUCCUGGGGUGCAGUCGCUCCCAAGGGUUGGUCU
rnacentral:rRNA from 1 species